UACUAAGGUGCCUGGUUCCCCCAUUGGAUUCAAUACGAAGAAAGAUGAAAGUAACGCUGCAUUAUAGCCCCUAUAAGGCAUGAAGCGGUAUCAACCAGUCGGACAAGCCGGUAGCCGUGUUAAAACGAGCUCUGACGUCCGCUGGUUGUACCGUUUCCGCAGCCGAAGGCAAGCGACGCCAUGCAUGCGAGCUUGUGAUCGACAAGAAAGUGAUUUGGACAUGUGAUAAAGACGACUUUCUAUCAAUUACUGACGAGAAGUCCCCGUUUGUAAAAGAUGCUGUCAACGCCUGCGAAUUAACACCAAAAAAAGCCUAAAUUUAAAAAAAAAAUACGUACAGAUAUUAGAUAUGUUAAUAUUCCAUUAAACAUUGUGUAAAAUAGCAUUUUUGGACAUCACAUUUUAUUUACCAAUCAAAGCACAAUUCAAUUGAUAUUUUGUCGACAGUCAUGCCAAUAAGCCAUUACCUUGUAAAUUUUAACAAUGACCGUGUUAAAUGUGUUCAAAUCUAUUAUUCCUCCUGGUUUCCUAUAAGAGGAAGCCCAUUUUCUUCAGAGAAGCGUAUUUAUGUAUUGAAGUUGCAUAGCUGAUUUAUUGUACUAUAUAUAGAAAUGCCUAAUAUACAAACCUGAAAACGGACAUAAAUGAAAUGGUUGUCUUAAAAUAUGUGACAAACAUUGAAAAACGUCUUUGACUUUCAGAUUUGUAUAGCAAAUGCAUUAUAUAUAAUAAAAUACAGUUAUGUUAUGUUUCA